GAUCCUAGCUCAGGAUGAACGCUGGCGGCGUGUCUAAUACAUGCGAGUCGAACGAAUCUCUUUUAGAGAUGAGUGGCGAACGGGUGAGUAAUACAUAGAUAACCUGCCCCUGUGCGGGGGAUAACAGGAGGAAACUCCUGCUAAUACCGCAUAGCCAUGAGCACCGCAUGGAGCUCAUGCCAAAUAUCCUUUCGGGGAUAGCGCAGGGAUGGACCUAUGGCGCA
rnacentral:rRNA from 1 species